GAUGUGGUUAUGCCCCAGGAGUAGGCAGUUACUUUGCUAAUCAACCACACACACUGUAACAACAGAAAGAAAAGCCACAAGAGCAUGGGAAGUCAUUAAAGCUUUUUUUCCACACGGAGAUCAGGAGUCACCAUUCACGGGUUUACCAGGCUUUCACUCAUGCUCUUCAUUUCUCCCUUGCCAUCAGCACAGGACAACUCAGAUGGCAGCUCUGGCUCUGGAAAGGAAUUACAUGUCAGGAAUGAAACCAAAAGAUGCAGUUAGAGAAUGAACAAAGACUUCGGGAUGCCUGGGUGGGUCAGUGGUCAAGCAUCUACCUUCAGCUCAG